GAAGGAAAAUUAUUCAGGGCAGCUAAUUUUGCUUUUACCAAAAUAUCUGUAGUAAUAUUUUUGGACAGUAGCUAAUGGGUCAGUGGGUUCUUUUUAAUGUUUAUACUGAGAUUUUUCUUUUACAAAAAUAAAAACAAAAAUUAAAAAAAAAAACCUUCUAGGACUUUAGAUGAUGUAAUACCAGCUAAAUCCAAACAAUACUCUAGUGGAGGGUUUUACAUUAUCCCAUCUACUGUGUUUGUAUUCAUGCUAUGAUAAUAAGUUUGAAAUGGGCAAAGAACAUCAGACAGCUGAAGUGUUAGCCCACAAGUUUCAAACAAUGUUUGGAAAUCUCUUUUUACCCUUAACUGAAGUGCCAAUUUUGAGCAGCUGACAUCUUUCAGCUGCUAUCGUGUUGGAGCAUUGGGGACAUGCUAGAGAGGCUUAAUUGUACUUUACCCUCACCUGGAGGUAAUUUAAAAUUUGAAUGUCACAAUCUACUCAAAGAGUCAGCAUGAGGUGGGUAGGGAGAUAUGGGAAUUUGAAUAACAGGUGGGGAAAUAGGAAUAGAGAGUUUAGGAAUUAUCCUGGCAUCCUGAGUACGCCCCAGGUUUCAGAAGUUCACUUCUGUCUGCACUGUAAUAAAGUAAUACUAGCUCUACUGGCAGCCAUUUCCAAAAUGGCAAUUUGAGUUCCAAGGAAGAGAGUAGCGGCAACAGUGAAAUCCAAAGAAAAAUCUAGCAUGGGGUCUGCCUAAGUUUCUUUUAGCCAUUGCUUACCUUGCCAAUUUGAUUCUGGUCAUCCAAAGAAAAGAUGCUAUCAAUGUAGGUGACAAUGUCUAGACCCCAAGGAAGUUGUGUCUUUGACAGAUUUCCCUGGUAACAUUGGAGAUAUGACUUUCCAUGCCAUAUCUUAUGCCUUUGGGGCUGAACAAAUAAGCGACUUACUGAUAAUUUCUUUUUAAUCACAUGUCGUGUUCAUACUUUGAAGUCAUACAUUGAAAGGUCAUUGUCCAGCCAUUGGUUUGGAGUUACCCAUACACCUGCAUGAAGUUGAUUACAAGUCUCUUUCUACUCAUACUUUGCAACUCUGAGAUUUACUGUGGAUACUGAGAAUGAUCACUAGGACCAUAGUAAUGUCUAAUAUUCACAGUCAGACCUGCUUAGGGAACCUAAGUCUUUUAAAGGCAAAUAGAGUCAUACAGUAGCACAUAAGGCAACCAUGACUCUCUUUGGUACAGGUCUUUGGAGGUUGAUCCAGCUUACACUGCACACAUCCUAGAUUAACUCCAUGAAAAUUUACUCUCUUGCAAAUGGAGCAAACACAUUUAACUGUGGUCCCAAAUAUCCAUCUUUUCAUUAGUGUGAAUAUGCUCUAUUUCUAGCUUCAUAGCCUAUCCAUUUAAAUUAAAGUGUGGUCUCUUUUAAAGUCCUUUAGACUUGCUUUCUAAGUGAUUAUGUCUCAAUUUUUGCACUGUGCUUCGGAGACUUAAGAGAAAUUUCCCCUUUCUUUUACAUCCGAAUGUGCCUGAACUUUUUCAAAUAUGUAAAUGCUACCAUGUUCCAAACCCAUCUUUAGUGUCUUUGUAUGGAGCUGUGCACCCUGGAAAUAACACAGAGUCCCAGGAGCAGGUGCCUGAGACAUGGACCCCUUUGUAGUCACAGAGAGGUCAUUGGUCGUCGAGACUUGAAUUAAUAAGUGACAUCACGCCAGUUUAUUUUCCUUCACAGCGUACAAACAACGCUUUCUGUGCACUACAUAUUCUUCAGUGUAGAGUUCUUGUUUUUCGGGGAGAGGCACAGAUGCCCCAUUGUGUUGGAUGGAUUACUACAGGCUUCUGAUGCACACUGCUAUUGAUGUGACCCCGUUUCAUCGCCGCUUUGCUUUGUUUAAUGAAACACACGUGUAUGCCUCUUUUGCACCUUGAAAUGGUAAAGAAUCCAGUGGGAUGCUCAAGCCCCUGUAAACCAUCUUCUCAGCAUAUUCAAUGUUCAAAUAAAAAAUAAAAUAAAGGCAG
rnacentral:lncRNA from 1 species